GAGUUUGAUCUUGGCUCAGGAUGAACGCUGGCGGCGUGCCUAAUACAUGCAAGUCGAGCGAACGGACGAGAAGCUUGCUUCUCUGAUGUUAGCGGCGGACGGGUGAGUAACACGUGGAUAACCUACCUAUAAGGACUGGGAUAACUUCGGGAAACCGGAGCUAAUACCGGAUAAUAUUUUGAACCGCAUGGUUCAAAGUAAAGACGGUCUUGCUGUCACUUAUAGA
rnacentral:rRNA from 1 species